UUCCAGACUCCUACGGGAGGCAGCAGUGGGGAAUAUUGCACAAUGGGGGGAACCCUGAUGCAGCGAUGCCGCGUGGAGGAAGAAGGUUUUCGGAUUGUAAACUCCUUUUAUCAGGGACGAUAAUGACGGUACCUGAAGAAAAAGCUCCGGCCAACUACGUGCCAGCAGCCGCGGUAAUACGUAGGGAGCGAGCGUUGUCCGGAAUUACUGGGUGUAAAGGGAGCGUAGGCGGGACGGCAAGUCAGAUGUGAAAACUGAGGGCUCAACUUUCAGACUGCAUUUGAAACUGCUGUUCUUGAGUGAAGUAGAGGUAAGCGGAAUUCCUAGUGUAGCGGUGAAAUGCGUAGAUAUUAGGAGGAACACCAGUGGCGAAGGCGACUUUCUGGACUGCACCUGACGCUGAGGCGCGAAAGCGUGGGUAGCGAACGGGAUUAGAUACCCCUGUAA
rnacentral:rRNA from 1 species